GGGUUAGUAGCUUAAUAGGUAAAGCACUUCAUUGUCAAUGAAGUUUAUGUCGGUUCAAAUCCGACUUAACCCG
rnacentral:tRNA from 1 species